UACAGAGGUGGCAAGCGUUGUUCGGAAUUACUGGGCGUAAAGGGCGCGUAGGCGGCCUUCUAAGUCAGACGUGAAAUCCCCCGGCUUAACCUGGGAACUGCGUCUGAUACUGGAGGGCUUGAGUGCGGGAGAGGGAUGUGGAAUUCCAGGUGUAGCGGUGAAAUGCGUAGAUAUCUGGAGGAACACCGGUGGCGAAGGCGGCGUUCUGGACUGUAACUGACACUGAGAAACGAAAGCCAGGGUAGCAAACGGG
rnacentral:rRNA from 1 species